GACGAACGCUGGCGGCGUGCCUAAUACAUGCAAGUAGGACGCAGUUGCGAACGGGUGAGUAACGCGUAGGUAACUACCUAUUAGAGGGGGAUAACUAUUGGACACGAUAGCUAAUACCGCAUACUAGUAGAUGGACCUGCGUUGUAUUAGCUAGUAGGUAGGGUACUGGCCUACCUAGGCAAAGAUACAUAGCCGACCUGAGAGGGGGAUCGGCCACACUUGGACUGGGAUACGGCCCAGACGCCUACGGGAGUCAGCAGUAGGGAAGCUUCGGCAAUGGGGGGAACCCUGACCGAGCAACGCCGCGUGAGUGAAGAAGGUUUUCGGAUCGUAAAGCUCUGUUGUUAAGGAAGCGGUACUUAACCAGAAAGGGACGGCUAACUACGUGCCAGCCGCCGCGGUAAUUC
rnacentral:rRNA from 1 species